GUAACUCCAGAAACUUCAGCAAAUUCCAAAAUCAGAUUCUGCAAGCAAAGCCAUCCAUGCGGUUUAUGUUGUAACGUGGAUAGGUUUUGAUAAAUAAAAGGGUAUGUAUAUUUCUUUACCUUCUUUUCAAAGGUAAGUCCUGAACAGCAUAGAACUGUUUUCUUGGGUCAGAUAAUCGCUUUAUCUGCAAUGGAACUCGAGGAUUCCUUGUUCCCUUGGUUGAGAGAAGUUGAUAUAGGAACAUAUCCUUAUGAAGUGUUCCAAGAUGUGGAAUGGUCUCUUCUGAUUGGUGAAAACCUCGAGGCACUGUAAUAGAACAUGCUGCCUAGUCGGACAUUACUGCACAGCUAGUUGCGCGGAGCAAGACAAAGCUCUUAACGCAGUUGCAACACCUAACGUCUAGGUCUUUGUAGUGGGAAAUCCUUGCAACACCAAGUGUUCCAAUAGAAUAUAACUUCUCACAAAUAUAAAAUCAUUAGCUAAUAAAAAUUAAUGAA